rnacentral:rRNA from 1 species
UACGAAGGACCCGAGCGUUAUCCGGAUUCAUUGGGUUUAAAGGGUGCGUAGGCGGAAUGAUAAGUCAGUGGUGAAAUCCUGCAGCUCAACUGCAGAACUGCCUUUGAUACUGUUUGGCUUGAGACCGGUAGAGGUAAGUGGAACUGCGAGUGUAGAGGUGAAAUUCGUAGAUAUUCGCAAGAACACCAGUGGCGAAGGCGGCUUACUGGACCGGUUCUGACGCUGAGGCGCGAAAGCGUGGGGAGCAAACAGG